AAUAGAUACCCAGGUAGUCCACCCCGUAAACGUUGGGAACUAGUUGUGGGGACCAUUCCACGGUUUCCGUGACGCAGCUAACGCAUUAAGUUCCCCGCCUGGGGAGUACGGCCGCAAGGCUAAAACUCAAAAGGAAUUGACGGGGACCCGCACAAGCGGCGAAGCAUGCGGAUUAAUUCGAUGCAACGCGAAGAACCUUACCAAGGCUUGACAUAUACGAGAACGGGCCAGAAAUGGUCAAACUCUUUGGACACUCGUAAACAGGUGGUGCAUGGUUGUCGUCAGCUCGUGUCGUGAGAUGUUGGGUUAAGUCCCGCAACGAGCGCAACCCUCGUUCUAUGUUGCCAGCACGUAAUGGUGGGAACUCAUGGGAUACUGCCGGGGUCAACUCGGAGGAAGGUGGGGAUGACGUCAAAUCAUCAUGCCCCUUAUGUCUUGGGCUUCACGCAUGCUACAAUGGCCGGUACAAAGGGCUGCAAUACCGUAAGGUGGAGCGAAUCCCAAAAAGCCGGUCCAGUUCGGAUUGAGGUCUGCAACUCGA
rnacentral:rRNA from 1 species